UGGGAUUCACAUGAGUCGUCGACACACACGUUAAAACGUCGACAUUGUAAAACAUUUGCUUUCGCGGGAAAAGUUUCCCCUUUGCUUUACCUGGUAAUAUUACAUUGGGUAAGCUAGUUCUUCUGGAUACUAAGACGAAACAAAUCUUAGAACAACAUUUUAUUCAAUCCAUGCUGUACAGUCAUUUGCAAGUAUUGGUAAAGCCGCUUACCUCUAGCGGUAUUUUAUAAGCCAUCAUGUCAAUUUCUCGCACUUUUACUUUUACUCUUACUCUCAGGUUUUGUUAGCAUAAUGAGCCACAGUAUUUAAACGAAAUAAUAUUAAAACGUGCAACGAGAGUAUAAAAUAUCCAAAAAAAUGGUUUGCUCAUUUGACGUAUGACGAUUUAACAUUUCAAGGUAUAUGAUUUAACAUUUCAUGUUUGGAAGUACAUUUUAAGUAGCAUUAUUACUACGCACACUUCCAAAAUAAUGUUUAAAUUCAAGUAAUAAUAUUUAUUGGAGUAAUUUGACUAAUCUUUAAAGUGCGAAAAAUUUCUAUCGUUGUUUCGUAUAAUCGUUGUUCAUAAAAUUUAAAUCUAAAAUUCAUAGCUAAAUACCUACUAACUCAUUUAUAUCCAAGCCAGCUGAGAAACAUGCAAAAGUUGAGAUAAAUGUAUUAGAUAUAGACUAUAGAUAGUUAAAUAUAGAUAUAUAGACUUGUAUUAGACAUAGUAAAUCAUUUUGGAAAUAUUUGCGAUAAUCGGAUAUUUGCUGAUGAACAUGUAGACAGAAUAAUUUUGUGAAUCAUUAUCUCGACCUGUCAAAAGAUUGCAAGCAAAUAUUGUUGCUAUCCAUCAAGCGAAGGUAAACUUGGAUUACUCGAAAAAGAUUAGCCCAAGGCUUCUCUACUUCUCUUACUACAUAUAAAAAAUGUUCGUUUCACAGAUAUGUUCUUGUAUUGGCUGUAGUAUCUAUAUGACAAAAAAAAUCUUAAAGAACAUAACUUGUAGUGUAUACUUAAUAUUUCAAAGGAAGUGAAAAAAACUUCCUUCCACAACGGAUAUGAAAACAAAAUAAUGCUCCCAAAUUUUCUUCGAGUAAUGAAGGCUUUCCAUUGUUUGAUGGAUGAUUGCAUGUUUUAGUUUAUAAUCUGUGUAUUGUUGAUAUUGAAAUCUGACAAGAGGAAAAAAUUAAAACGAUAGUAUUAUUUAAAUGACUGUAUGUAUUUUAUAAACCCAAAUGGAAUCCUAAAUUUAUCAUGAUUUCUUAUGAAGUUUUUCACCAAUACAGCUUAUUUGAAUUUAACUUAAAUCGCUAUUAGCUGUUUUUAGAAUAUGUUUAUCCAAUUGUUACAUUAUUGUAUCGAUUGAUUCAGCGAAAUAUUGGUCUUUAGAAAUAAUGUCAUUAACUUUGUAUGCUGAGACGUCAUUUGCAGAAACGAGAGCAAGAUGAGAAUGUGGAUUCAUUGACAUGACACUUUUUGAAUGAAAAUAAACGUUUUCUUCCUUCUUUAUAUGUUAAAAAAAAGUUUUGAUUUUUUUUAAGGCUGAUGUAUUUUUUAUAUAAAUAAAAAAAGAGUUGUGAUAGCAGGACAGCAAAACACAACAAACAUAAUUAUCAUAAAAACGACAGAAAAACAGCACCAGUUAGUCGUUUUAUGGUCAUUAUUGGGAAGGUUUUUUAGCCAGUGCCGAGGAACAAUACUAUGGUUCUGCACAAUCCAAAUAUGCUGUGCAGCAAACACUCACAGGCCCGUAAAAACUACCAAAAACCAUCUAUUUAUUUUGUUUAACCGUAAGCCCAACGCUCCAACAUCUUUUGUGCGCUUUAACGCCACCGCAAUGUUUAAUUUGUAUCUUUCAGCGCCGUGGCAUAAAUAUAUUUCCACCUCAACUUAUCUGAUAUAAUUAAUCAAAUUAUCAUUGUCUUAACGUGUUCGUGCUUUUGUUCGCGGCUCGCUGGAUCAACGCUACAGUGUAAAAGAACAACCCAUUCACUAACCGCCGGGUGCUGUUUGGUGCAUGAUUUAGACAUUCGCUGCGUCAGGUGCUGGAUGUGUUCUUGCUUCAGCGCGUUUUUUUUUUUUUUUUAUUUAUUUCCCUCUGUUUGCCACGCAUCAAUGCAAAGCCCCAAAAAAACCUUCCACACCCAGUUUUUGGCAUCCAUUGCAUCGGGUAUUGUUAUUUUCAGAUGCACCGUACGGGUUGCGGCAUACCUUGAGCCGGAAGUGUCUUACAGUUAGCGAACCAUUUCCUGUCGGCGGUGAACUCUGAGACAAAAAACCGAAACACAUAAAAUGUUGAUCUCCAGUAAGCUUUCCGUUGCAAAAAGACAAUACGGCGAUAUCGAAAACUACCCUCAGGUGGAAUGUGAAUAAAAUAACACAUCGUCCACAAAACGGAUGCACUGAAAAGAGUUUUAUCUUUACCGCUUUUCUGAUGCAUCAAUUUGGAAGCGGGCACCGCGACGGGACGAGUUUUGUGCCAUUUUUUUCAUCCUCGCACACAGUAUUGUCUCAAUCCUGUGUGAGCCACGGUAACAAAAAACUCGCAAUAGAAAACAAAAUAAAUAAUUGCCGGGUUUAUCAUGGUGAUUUUGUGCCGGUCGUUUUGUUUUUCUUUUUGGCAGUUAAAUUUUAAACCGUACGUGCUCCGUCUCCACGUCCGCGGAUGAUAAAUUGUGUCUGAAAUUUUUUGACUAAUUACAGCCAUGAGCCGUGAUUAAAAGCUCGGAACUUGAAGGCUGUCGUCAUCACCACGCCGUCGUCGUCUGGAUGAGGUUUUCAGCCGGGGAUUCCACUCCUGCUUUACACGGUCUGGUGAAAGUGAAUGCACUUUUGGAAGGUUAUUUUUCUUCUCCGGCCAAAAUCAGCGAAACUCCGUGCCGGUUUGUUUCGUGUGUUUCCCAUUCUGCUGGACCGUUGCGAAAAAUUCAUCAAAAUAAUAGCAUUUAUAUCUUGACGCACGGAUGCUUAUCGCUGAGAAGUUGCAAAAUUAUCAUAAUCGCUGUUCGUUCAUCGCAAACAAAAAUGCUCGCGUUAAGAAAAAAAGGGCACAAUUCCAUUACCUUUUUUAUGACUCUUGUAAAUUACUCACAAUAUAACAUAUUGAACACAGCAGCAGUGUGAAGUCCAUGGUAAACAAUGCAAAGUUAAGCAUCCUAGUGCAAUUUUCACAUGCAGUAUCUUAUCCAUGCCAACACCUUCUUCGGCAGUGCCUCAUGCUUCGUGUGCCACUGUUUGCCACGGUGAUGGAGGAGUAAAAUUAAUCCAAAAGCAAUUAUGAAUAAUGAAAUUAUGCUCAGGUGCGAAACUGCCAAGAAAGACUCUUUUGAGCACGACGACAGUAGCGACAAUUUACUUUAAUGGUUGAUUCGGUGCUUUGUUUCCUUCAAUGCAUCAUUGAAUGAGGACGAUUGUGAUUUUGUUAAACGGUAUAUUUUAUUAUUCUUUAUCAGGUAAAAGUAUUUCAAUAAAAAUGUCAAUUAUUCAAAAAAUACGUCGUCAUAUGAUGCUCUUCUUUUAAAAUGUAGUAGCAUGUAACCUGCACAUUGUAUGGAUAUAGGUACAAAACUCACAUACUCAAAUAAGUAAUAUUCGUAAUUUUAUCUACUUAAAUAGCAAUCUAAAAACCAGCAAAAUCCAAAACCAUGUUGUGAUAAAAUCUUUCAUCUGAGCAAUUACCUUAAAUCAAUUUUCUAAUACUUUUUCACAGCAAAAACACCAUAACUAACUGCCCGACUGUGAACGAACCAUGCCCUACAUGCUUCGAAUUCGGACGAUUAGUAGUGGACCAACCUUGCCCAUAAUUCCUCGCCAGUUUCCGUGCAGUUCAUUCACUGUAAUAGUCAACAUCAUUACCAUCAUUAGUGUAAGUAACGGUACGAUGGGACUAACGAACGACGAUGGCACCGUGCAGACGCUAUUCUUUCCAAGUGCAUCCCCGCCCAGACCAUGUUCGUAUUUUCCUUCCAAAACGGAUACAGUCGUAUGCUGUUGCUAGUAGUGGUGGUCGGCACUAACCGAUGAUGCUUAAGCCGCCGUUCUUAGCGCUAUAUAUAAAUACACACAAACACACACACACACAAGUUCCUAGUCACUUUGGUAGCUUUGACCUCGACAGCCUUUCUUUUUCUACACGCUCUAUCUCCCAGCAACGGUGCUGGAUGUGAAAUGCUUUUCGCAAUUAAUCAACCUGCUACAGAAUGUGUUUAGUGAAUACAAUCGGAUCUCGUCCAGCGUGCAUUGCACCCGUGCAGUGAGGGGUGUUAGCUGGAUUUUAGCAGCCUUAAAAGUGUCUCCGGCAAACCGAAGAAAAGCGUUCACCGGAUAUCACUCUGCUGCGGGCAUCGAAGUGGCAGGAUAAUGGGAAGAUCUAUUGCCACCACCGGCGUAUAUAAAGCUUGCAUAUAAUGUAUGAUUUUUUAAAAGUUGCUCAGCACCAAACCGAUGCUGAAAAUGCUGAGAUUUCUGCACCGAAAUCCUUCUCCUCCCCUUUUGCGAAGCUUUCCAUCACGCUUCACGAUUCGAAAUGCACGAAAAAGAGUGUGCAUUUAGAGCUGGGCGGAUUGUAGCAUGGGACAUGGGUGAUCGGAAUAAAAUUUCCAUAUAUUUCCACUGCUUGUUGGCAAAGUUCUCGACUACAAUGAAUGCUUGAUGCAUCGUUUAGCAUUCUUGUACCUCCUACAUUACAGAGCGUCGAGUUGAAAAGAUACAUGAUACAACAGUUUUUUUUUCAUAUAAUUCUGCAUACUUCACAUACUGAAUUGAUCUUUGCUGAUUUGCGUUCUAACGUUCCCUCUCCUUUCUGAAACCGCUACAAACAGAUUAAAGUGCUCUAACCUGCUCUUUUGUGGUCAUUUUAUUGCACAAAUAAUCCAGCACGAUUUUCCUUUCUGAUAAAAAAAUGCACACAAAAAGGGGCCCUAAAUUCGUUCCUUGAAUGAUAAAUACGUUGCAAUCAUUAUUAUGAAAUUCAUUUUGUGUUCUGACCUGGACGCAAAAAAAUGGUCGUAACCUUCAAAUAAAUCUGUAUCAUCCUCUUUGAACCAUGCCGCUCGCAUUUGAACUCCGGCGUGAAACAUGCCAAAAGGAAGAUGUGAACAAAUUUUAUAUUUCAGGACGGAUUAUUUUCUCAAUGUUGCCAAACCCUCCAUUAGGCAUUAGCAAAGGAAGUGCUUUUGAAACCGAAAAGCAAAUGAUCAAAACGGACUAUGGACACGAUAUUUCGACCGCAAACAAUUGAGGUAACACGGCGUGGCUUCGUGUGUGGUAUUAAGAGUCGUGGUAUAAGACAAUAAAAUCAUUUGUUCACAGGGAACAUGAGCUAAUUUGUUCAUUUAAGAGAUUUUUUGUAUCUUUUGGAAAUUUGAGAACAUUCAAUAACACUUUAUUUCACCAUUGAAUUAAAUUAAAGUGAGGUUCAAAGAUACUAGACCUUUUACAUCUCCGAUUUUUUAAAUCAAUUAAACUUGGUAUUUUUUAAAUUACUUUUAACUAUCAACGUCGAUAGUUAAUUACAGAAAACAAGUAUUACUGUUCAAAACACCAAAAAACACAAAACGUGUAAGUUUUUAAGCCUAAAAAACAUGACUCACACGCUCUGUGUCGACCAACACCUAAACCGUGGAUAAUUAUCAACAACCGAUACCACAUAAUUCUUCGUCACGCGCUCAAACGCGACAAUUUGGUGAAAAUAUCUACCGACCACGUGGCAAUGCCCGUGCUACCGCCCAGCCGCCUGCACGAACUUUCUUAUCUUCACACGAACUCCGGUGACAUUGCUGUGGCGUAAGGGCGAAUGUGUUCUUUUUCCCGCUGCUGCUGUAUGUAUGUCUCCAUUGCGGUUUUGUGUGGCUUUCAUUUUCGGUAUAAAAAAAACAACCCUGCAACAUCACCACACCCACAAAAACACACCUACUAUCGUGGAAACAACAACACAAAAACGGUUGACUCAUCAAAUGUUUCGCUGCGAAAAUGAUGGUGAAAUAAAUUCGCAUGAAAUAUUAAAACCUUCCUCACCGUGACAGCUCCUGUCAGCUUAUUGCCACAAAACUUUCCUGAGCUGCUGCUGCUGCUUCACUUACGCGGGACUUGAGGUCGCUCUACGGAGAAGGUGGCUCCUUUAGCGUGUUGUAUGAUGUAUUUUUUUUCGCUUCUGUCUCAUGUUCCGUUUCAUGUUUCAUGCCCGUGAGCUUUUAUUCCUUCGCUCAGAGGUGUACCUUCGCGCUGCCUAUCUCGCCGGCCCCGUGAAUGUCCACGAUUCAUACCUUACGCUUAAGCGGCAAUGUGUCUUUUUUUGUAAUUUUCUAGAACGAUUUGUUUUGUUUUGCUAUAAUUCGUGCCGUUCUUUUUUGCUUCCCUAAAGUACUUCUCCUUCAUCGUUAGCUCUUUUCCUUCUUCCAUUCUAUCGCCAGUACGUUCAUUCGACCGAAGUGUAUUGGUUGUUUCAAGCGUCAAAGUACUCUACCAGGCGAACAAAUUGCUAAAUUUGCACUUGUUUCCAGCUCCAUAGAGACAGUGAGGCUCGGAAAAGCAGCGGGGGUUCAGCGUCGUACCGGUGCCUGUUGUGCCUGGAGGGUUUCUUUUUUAUCGCUCACAGCCACCGAGUGCACGUUGGGAUCCGCUACUACGCUGGUGUCUGUGAAUGCUCCGUUUACGAAAGCACAAGGAUGGAGUUCCAAAUAACGGACGCAGAAGAAUGGUUAGGUGAGGAAGGAUUAAGCUGCAACAUAGGCGAGUGUGAAAAUCCCACCAGGGUUCGUUCCAACGAUCGACCAAAGCUCCGUGUUGCUUGGAAGGGAUUUAGGCAAGGUUGCCGUUUACUUUCCUAUCCAAGUUUUACACACAGAACACACACACCAACCGGUACUGGAUCCUGUUCCAGAUCCGGUUUUGCAGACUUGCACCGCUUGCUUCAAAGUUCGUCGGCAGCUACCAAGCUGGGUUUGUUGGAGGAAAAUUCACCACCGAUCAAUACCAGUACCAGACCGCUACGCAUCUCCUGCUCAUCGACUUCAAUGCGAUCUACAACACAAUAGACCGCUGAGUUAUGGAACAUCAUGCUCCCUUAUCAUUUUCCUGUGAAGUUGAUCCGACUGUUAGAGGCCAACACGGGAUGCAGUGCAAGAUAAGAGUUCCAGAACCUUUCGAAUCUCUCAGCGUUCUGAGGCAAGAUGACGGACACUCCUGUCUGCUCCUCAACAUGCGACAAAGACUAAGUUCCUCCUUACCAGAUUCAGACCAUCUGGGAAGUAGUGUAAUUAGUUGACGGCGACAACCUCGAGGUAGUAAAGGAGUUCUGCUAUCUCGAGACGGUUGUUACUUCGGACAACCACACCAGCAGCGAAAUCCAGGGAAUUUGUUCAGGGGAAUCGUGCAUACUAUUGGCUUCACCAUCUGCUGAGAUACAGAAAACUUCGAGCCCCCACCGAAUGCGAGUUAUAUCGCACAUUGAUUCGACCGGUGAUCCUCUAUGGACACGAGUCAGGCCAUCCGAUGCGAUGCAAUGAGCUUGUUUGAGUGACGCAUAUUCCGGACCAUCUUUGGCGGUGUAUUUGAGCAUGGAGCGUGGAGGAGAAGGAUGAACCACGUGCUUGCUGAGCUGUACGGCAAACUGAGCAUCCUGACGGUGGUGAGUAUAGCGGUGGCCAGUACGACAUAAGGUGUAGGGCAGGGUAGUGAUAUCAAUGGCUGCAUCAGGUGAAGCAUGAUCAGAUGUCUUCAUGGAUGGUAGGCUGCAGCCAGGGUCCUAGCAUCCUUGAGAAUGAUUGUUGACCAGGCCAUGUCACGACGGCUUGCUCCAUCGUAAGCAAGCCAACAAGAGAUAGAGAAAGAGGAAGAGACAGAGAGAGAAAGAGCGAGAAAAAUAGGGAAAGAAAAGGAGAGAGAGAGAGAGAGAGAGAGAGAGAGAGAGAGUCAAAUUGUAUAAAACAAAAAACAACUUGAACUUUUCCUUUCUUCUUCGUUCUUAAAUACUCGCUUCUUCGCUCUUAUGAACUUACAUAAUCGCUUACGGAACAAUUUACUCAACUACUUGCACAUUUUCAACCAAUUUGUUUGAUCAUUUUUCUAGAUCAUUGCAGCUUAGCUAGAUGGAGGUAAUUACUGCAAUCAAUGUCAUUAGUGCUAUUAUUGUAAGCGAGCGUUGUUGUUUAUCAAUGCCCAAAGUUGUUUCUUGCUCCCCCA